rnacentral:rRNA from 1 species
GCGGUGAAAUGCGUAGAUAUCAUUUGGAACGCCAAUGGUGAAAACAGGUAGCUGGGAGUGUGCUGACGCUGAGACACGAAAGCCAGGGGAGCAAACGGGAUUAGAUACCCCGGUAGUCCUGGCUGUAAACGAUGUCGACUAGAUCGUGGUGGCUCUGACGCCAUCACGGUCGAAGCAAAAGUGCUAAGUCGACCGCCUGGGAAGUACGGUCGCAAGGCUAAAACUCAAAUGAAUUGACGG